rnacentral:lncRNA from 1 species
UACAAUGAGAUAUAUUAAUUACAAUGAGAAAAAAGACAAUGAACACAAUGAAAUACAUGAAAAAAUAUUAAAAUACGUUAACAGAAAAUCAAAUUGCUCAGCCCCAAAUUCCUUUGUCUUUGUUCAAGAACAAACCUUAAUUUCCGGUGAAUCUUCCUCGUUAUGCCAUCGGAAUCAUUGUCGCUCUCCGGUGAAUCCAAAGUUAAACACUGAUAUCGCUCUCCGAUGGAAUCACUGUAGCUACUCUCAAAAAUUCAAAACUUUACAUGCAUUAAUCAACUGGGAUUUGACAAGAAUAGAUAUGUAAUAUGUAGUUGUCUUACAAAUAUGUAGGGUUUACGUGAGCAGUUAAAAAUGGCUUUGGAAUAAUCGAAGGAGUAAGAGAAUGGGAGGUAUUAAAAUAGAAAAAGAAAAAAAAUUAUGUAACUGAUUAGCGUAUUUAGUGGCUUAGGACUAGCAGGUAACCAAAAUUAAAUAUUUUGCUAUAAAAC